rnacentral:rRNA from 1 species
UACGUAGGCAGCGAGCGUUGUUCGGAAUUACUGGGCGUAAAGAGUGUGUAGGCGGUGCUCUAAGUUCGGUGUGAAAUCUCCUGGCUCAACUGGGAGGGUGCGCCGGAAACUGGAGUGCUUGAGCGUGGGAGAGGAAAGCGGAAUUCCUGGUGUAGCGGUGAAAUGCGUAGAGAUCCGGAGGAACACCAAAGGCGAAGGCAGUGUCCUGGGGAGUACCUGACGCUCAGGUGCGAAAGCCAGGGGAGCGAACGGG